CGCGGGAUGGAGCAGCCCGGUAGCUCGUCAGGCUCAUAACCUGAAGGUCGUAGGUUCAAAUCCUACUCCCGCAA
rfam:Loktanella sp. 1ANDIMAR09 PM06_013, whole genome shotgun sequence.